ensembl:lncRNA
AUGUCAUGUGUGUGAAGGUCAUGGGUAAACAGAAUCAUCCUCAGCCUGAUUACGAUUGAAUUAACUAAGAAUGAAUAACUAAAUACCUGAUAAAAACUUUCUUGAUUAAUGGAGCUGAAUUAUAACAUAAGAGACUUCAGGCAUUAUUAUCUUCUACAUACUUCCUCAUUCCUCAGUGGACUAAACAUUUUAUCUCAUAUUCCGAAGGAUUAUUCUGCUACUAUUCCGAUUAGUACACUACUGCAUGUGAUCAACAGACAUCCACACCAGCAUCCUCAGAUCAACUUCAGUCUUUUAAUUUCCCUUCACCCUACAGCCAUCACCAUGGAAACAAGAACCCCAACCCCGUGGAAAGACAAGCUCCUCCCUCACACACUCACCACCCUGUGACGGCUGACCCCCAGAAAUCAGCUGAGGCCGUCUCUCUGCCUUCCGGCGAGGAGACUGGACAGGAGAGGGUGGCAAAAAGGGGGCGUGUCCCAGAUUACCAGCCACGUGAGGGCGGGACUACGGGAGGGUCUUGGCUGGGAUGAGGACCCCAUGGGGAUUACAUUUGAAGCUUGUGAGCCAUCAGACUGAAAGGUCCACUUUUAAUCAACUUUUCAUUAUUUUUAAGUAUCCUUGUCCGGCAGCCGUGAUGCAGACCCCUGUCCAGGUGUGGGAGAUACCAGUCCAGGUGUGGGACAUACCUGUCCAGGUGUGGGAGAUACCAGUCCAGGUGUUAUAGAUAUCUGCCCAGGUGUGCGAAAUACCUGUCCAGAUGUUGUAGAGAAACCUGUCCAGGUGUUAUGUAUAUAUACAUAUAUAUACACACACGCACUAACCUGUCCAGGUGUGAUUCGGAUACCUGUCCAGAUGUAGAGAUACCUGUCCGGGGCCAUGUUUGAGUUGAUUAACUUGUACCCGAUACAGCACAACAAAUGAUGCUUUACCAUUUUGUAGUGUUCAUUUUAGUGUAAAAAUCAGUUUCCCUAUAUAGUGCACCGAUUAAUACCCAUAAUGCACCUUCAAAUAAAUAUAAUUUCCACACCCUUGACACUGUGAGAUCCAACGCACACGGCUUGUUUAAGCGACAAAUUGACACCAGAGGGGUGGAUUUCGAGCCCAUGAUAACCGUCCUAAUUCCCUAGUGUACUAUAACGUGUAGGGUAUAUAGGGAUUGUAGGUCAAGUGAGCCAAUUCGAAGAGUGCAGAUAUCUGUCCAGGUGUUCUCAGGACACCUGUCCAGGUAUUAUUCAGACCCCUGUCCAGGUGAUAUUCAGACCCCUUUCCAGGUGUUAUUCAGACACCCGUCCAGGUGUAACGCAGACACCUGUCCAGGUGUUAUUCAGACACCUGUCCAGGUGUAACGCAGACACCUGUCCAG